GCUCCGGUGGCCUAGUGGAUAAAGCAUCUGCCUCGGAUCCAGGAGGUCAUGGGUUCAAUCCCCGGCCGAGUCA